rnacentral:rRNA from 1 species
AUUGAACGCUGGCGGCAGGCCUAACACAUGCAAGUCGAGCGAGCGGCGGACGGGUGAGGAAUGUCUGGGAAACUGCCUGAUGGAGGGGGAUAACUCCUGGAAACGGUAGCUCAUACCGCAUACCAUCAGAUGUGUCCCGAUGGGAUUAGCUAGUAGGUGGGGUAAUGGCUCACCUAGGCGACGAUCCCUCGCUGGUCUGAGAGGAUGACCAGCCACACUGGAACUGAGACACGGUCCAGACGCCGACGGGAGGCAGCAGUGGGGAAUAUUGCACAAUGGGCGCAAGCCUGAUGCAGCCAUGCCGCGUGUGUGAAGAAGGCCUGCGGGUUGUAAAGCACUUUCAGCGGGGAGGCGUUACCCGCAGAAGAAGCACCGGCUAACUCCGUGCCAGCAGCCGCGGUAAUUC